rnacentral:rRNA from 1 species
GACGAACGCUGGCGGCGUGCUUAACACAUGCAAGUCGAACGGUGAAGCGCCUUCCUUUUUGGUGGGUGUGGAUGAGUGGCGAACGGGUGAGUAACACGUGAGUAACCUGCCCCCUUCUUCUGGAUAACCGCAUGAAAGUGUGGCUAAUACGGGAUAUUCUGGGUCUGUCGCAUGAUGGGUCUGGGAAAGAUAUUGUUUCGGUGGGGGAUGGGCUCGCGGCCUAUCAGCUUGUUGGUGGGGUGAUGGCCUACCAAGGCGGUGACGGGUAGCCGGCCUGAGAGGGUGGACGGUCACACUGGGACGGAGACACGGCCCAGACUCCUACGGGAGGCAGCAGGGGGGAAUAUUGCACAAUGGGCGCAAGCCUGAUGCAGCGACGCCGCGUGAGGGAUGGAGGCCUUCGGGUUGUGAACCUCUUUCGCCAGUGAAGCAGGCCUGCCUCGUUUGUGGGUGGGUUGACGGUAGCUGGAUAAGAAGCGCCGGCUAACUACGUG